GACGAACGCUGGCGGCGUGCUUAACACAUGCAAGUCGAACGAAGUGGCGAACGGGUGAGUAACGCGUAAUCAACCUGCCCUUCAGAGGGGGACAACAGUUGGAAACGAAUGCUAAUACCGCAUACGGAAGGAGGGGAUUGCGUCUGAUUAGCUAGUUGGAGGGGUAACGGCCCACCAAGGCGAUGAUCAGUAGCCUGUCGGAGAGGAUGAACGGCCAAAUUGGGACUGGGACAAGGCCCAGACUCCUACGGGAGGCAGCAGUGGGGAAUCUUCCGCAAUGGACGAAAGUCUGACGGAGCAACGCCGCGGGAGUGAUGACGGCCUUCGGGUUGUAAAGCUCUGUUAAUCGGGACGCGGUACCGGAAGAGAAAGCCACGGCUAACUACGUGCCAGCAGCCGCGGUAAUAC
rnacentral:rRNA from 1 species